GAGGAAAUUGUGAAGGAAGUCAGCACC
rnacentral:piRNA from 1 species